rnacentral:rRNA from 1 species
CACGUAGGGGGCGAGCGUUGUCCGGAUUUAUUGGGCGUAAAGAGCUCGUAGGCGGAUUCUUAAGUCAGGGGUGAAAUCCCGAGGCUCAACCUCGGAACUGCCUUUGAUACUGGGAAUCUUGAGUAUGGUAGAGGUUGGUGGAACAGCAAGUGUAGAGGUGAAAUUCGUAGAUAUUUGCUAGAACACCAGUGGCGAAGGCGGCCAACUGGACCAUAACUGACGCUGAGGUGCGAAAGCGUGGGGAGCAAACAGG